AGCGAACGCUGGCGGCAGGCCUAACACAUGCAAGUCGAGCGCCCCGCACGGGGAGCGGCAGACGGGAGAGUAACACGUGGGAACAUACCUUUUGGUUCGGAACAACUGAGGGAAACUUCAGCUAAUACCGGAUAAGCCCUUACGGGGAAAGAUUUAUCGGCGAAAGAUUGGCCCGCGUCUGAUUAGCUAGUUGGUGAGGUAACGGCUCACCAAGGCGACGAUCAGUAGCUGGUCUGAGAGGAUGAUCAGCCUCACUGGGACUGAGACACGGCCCAGACUCCUACGGGAGGCAGCAGUGGGGAAUAUUGGACAAUGGGGGCAACCCUGAUCCAGCCAUGCCGCGUGAGUGAUGAAGGCCUUAGGGUUGUAAAGCUCUUUUGCCCGGGAAGAUAAUGACGGUACCGGGAGAAUAAGCCCCGGCUAACUUCGUG
rnacentral:rRNA from 1 species